GACGAACGCUGGCGGCGUGCCUAAUACAUGCAAGUCGAACGCUUUUUCUUUCACCGGAGCUUGCUCCACCGAAAGAAAAAGAGUGGCGAACGGGUGAGUAACACGUGGGUAACCUGCCCAUCAGAAGGGGAUAACACUUGGAAACAGGUGCUAAUACCGUAUAACACUAUUUUCCGCAUGGAAGAGAGUUGAAAGGCGCUUUUGCGUCACUGAUGGAUGGACUCGCGGUGCAUUAGCUAGUUGGUGAGGUAACGGCUCACCAAGGCACCGGUGGAUGUGCGAACUGAAAGGGUGAUCGGCCAAACUGGGAUUGAGACACGGCCCUGGCUCGUACGGGAGGUAGCAGUAGGGAAUCUGCGGCAAUGGACGAAAGUCUUACCUAGCAACGCCGCGUGAGUGAAGAAGGUUUUCGGAUCGUAAAACUCUGUUGUUGAAGAAGAACAAGGAUGAGAGUAAAACGUUCAUCCCUUGACGGUAUCUAACCAGAAACCCACGGCGAACUACGUGCCAGCAGCCGCCGUAA
rnacentral:rRNA from 1 species